rnacentral:rRNA from 1 species
GUGCCAGCCGCCGCGGUAAUACGGAGGGUGCAAGCGUUGCCCGGAUUUAUUGGGCGUAAAGGGCGCGUAGGCGGCUCGGCACGUCCGUUGUGAAAUCGCCCGGCUCAACUGGGCGGGGUCAGCGGAUACGGUGUGGCUAGAGCAAGCUAGGGGGCAAUGGAAUUCCCGGUGUAGUGGUGGAAUGCGUAGAUAUCGGGAGGAACACCAGUGGCGAAGGCGGUUGCCUGGAGCUUUGCUGACGCUGAUGCGCGAAAGCCAGGGGAGCAAACGGGAUUAGAUACCCCGGUAGUCC